rnacentral:rRNA from 1 species
CACGUAGGGCGCAAGCGUUGUCCGGAAUUAUUGGGCGUAAAGAGCUCGUAGGCGGUCUGUCGCGUCUGCUGUGAAAACCCGGGGCUUAACCCCUGGCUUGCAGUGGAUACGGACAGACUAGAGGUAGGUAGGGGAGAAUGGAAUUCCCGGUGUAGCGGUGAAAUGCGCAGAUAUCGGGAGGAACACCGGUGGCGAAGGCGGCUCACUGGCUCGUAACUGACGCUCAUGCACGACAGCGUGGGGAUCAAACAGG